UACGAAGGGGGCUAGCGUUGCUCGGAAUCACUGGGCGUAAAGGGCGCGUAGGCGGCCGCCUAAGUCAGACGUGAAAUCCCUCGGCUCAACCGGGGAACUGCGUCUGAUACUGGGUGGCUUGAAUCCGGGAGAGGGAUGCGGAAUUCCAGGUGUAGCGGUGAAAUGCGUAGAUAUCUGGAGGAACACCGGUGGCGAAGGCGGGUCUCUGGGCCGAUACUGACGCUGAGGAGCGAAAGCGUGGGGAGCGAACAGG
rnacentral:rRNA from 1 species